UUGAUUGUGCCUUCAUCCUCAUUCACAUCUUCUGCAUUCCUAUUCAUCCAACAAGAUUUACAGCAAACAUGACAAGAUUGUUGGUUUUUCCGAUCACCCCAAUACAACAUGCAGUCAUUUGGGCGACCAUUAAUUUUGUUGUACCCAAGGCCUAAAUCCUUUAUCAGUUUCUUCAUAUCUUUGCAUAAAUGAGGGAUUUUCGCAAACGAAAACAUAUCUCUCAAAAACUCUAAUAGUAGUGUAAAAGUAUUCCUGGUCCACCCUCCCAAACAUUUUAACUGAAAAAG
rnacentral:lncRNA from 1 species